rnacentral:rRNA from 1 species
AUUGAACGCUGGCGGCAGGCCUAACACAUGCAAGUCGAGCGGCAGCGGGAAAGUAGCUUGCUACUUUUGCCGGCGAGCGGCGGACGGGUGAGUAAUGCCUGGGAAAUUGCCCAGUCGAGGGGGAUAACAGUUGGAAACGACUGCUAAUACCGCAUACGCCCUACGGGGGAAAGCAGGGGACCUUCGGGCCUUGCGCGAUUGGAUAUGCCCAGGUGGGAUUAGCUAGUUGGUGAGGUAAUGGCUCACCAAGGCGACGAUCCCUAGCUGGUCUGAGAGGAUGAUCAGCCACACUGGAACUGAGACACGGUCCAGACUCCUACGGGAGGCAGCAGUGGGGAAUAUUGCACAAUGGGGGAAACCCUGGUGCAGCCAUGCCGCGUGUGUGAAGAAGGCCUUCGGGUUGUAAAGCACUUUCAGCGAGGAGGAAAGGUCAGUAGCUAAUAUCUGCUGGCUGUGACGUUACUCGCAGAAGAAGCACCGGCUAACUCCGUGCCAGCAGCCGCGGUAACAC